rnacentral:snRNA from 1 species
UAUAUACAGAGAAGAUUAGCAUGGCCCCGGCAGAAGGAUGACAUGCAAAUUCAUGAAGCAUUCCAUUUUUUU